AUCAAAAUGAAUGCCUAGAUGGUAUACACACUUGCAGUUCCGAUGCCACAUGCAACAACUCAAUUGGAUCAUAUCAAUGCACGUGUAUAUCUGGGUACACAGGUGAUGGUAUAUCUUGCACAGACCAAAAUGAAUGCCUAGAUGAUAAACACAAUUGCAGUUCUGAUGCCACAUGCAACAACUCAAUUGGAUCACAUCAUUGCACGUGUAUAUCUGGGUACACAGGUGAUGGCAUAUCUUGCACAGGCACUGAUUCUCGCAAGGCCGGUAAGAGCGGAGCAAAGAUGCAUUUGCCCUGUUUGGGAAUACAAGCCGCCUUGAUUGUGCUCCUCACUGUGGUCCUACCCUUUACACAUAUGCUGGGAUAGAGGACUAACUGGGAAAUUGUCCCCAGGUUCACACGGGGAGACAUUUGUUUGUUAAGAGUAACUGACCAGCAAUACAGCUGCCACUGAUCUACUGCCUCUCUUUUUAUGUACUGCGAUUUCUGCUUUCGUUUGGUUUUGCAGUGUAGGGAUUUGCCAUAAACAUAGAAUAACUUUUGAGUUUCCCGCUUUGUUGAACAGUCCAUACGACGUCUUCUUUACGCAUUAUUUAGAAUAGUAAUAAUCAUGCCACGUACAGAGUCACGUAGAGUAGUGUACACUGUCGAUAGGUGGCAUUUGCACUGCAAGGUAAUGAUGACAUGUAUUACAUACUGUUGUUGGACGACCUAUUAAAGUGAUCUUUUCCGGCCCGGAAAAAAGUACUUGUGCACAUUUAUCCCUACCUUUCUCCUUCGGGUUAUGAAUUUUUGACUAAUCUUCAUUUCCUUCAGGGAACCUGCCUCCAGUUUUGUAUUUCCCUGAGCCUUCUUAGUGUAUGUGUGUGAGGAGGCAAUCCCCUGAAACUUGUUUUGUGUACUUUCAAAUGUUUCUAAUACACUGGGUAACCGUAACCCUAAUAAUAAUAUUAUUGUAGAUGUCCAUUCU